AUUUGGGAAAACAUAUGAAGUAAUUUAAUGGUUAAGAUUUAUUAUUAGUUGGAAGCUUUCCACAUAAUUAUGGUUUUAAGGAUAUGGAGGAUGUAGCCAACUGGGUUUGCAUUCCUGUAAUAAAUUGUUGGUUUAUAAAAUAUAAAUUUAAUACCUAACUUAAAAUUUUGUGGAAGUAAUAUAAGUUACACGCUUAAAAUGCUGUAUUUGUGUGUGCAUGCAUUUCAAGGCAUUUGGCAAAGCUUUCUUAGAGUUGUGGUGAGAUUAAUUCACUUGGGAGAACAGAAGCUAAAUGGAAAAGUGAGAACUCAAACUUUUCUAUGAAUGCACCACUGAAAGGGCAUCUCAGAAAAUUAACCAUCAAG
rnacentral:misc_RNA from 1 species